rnacentral:rRNA from 1 species
AGAGUUUGAUCAUGGCUCAGAUUGAACGCUGGCGGCAGGCCUAACACAUGCAAGUCGAACGGUAACAGGAAGCAGCUUGCUGCUUCGCUGACGAGUGGCGGACGGGUGAGUAAUGUCUGGGAAACUGCCUGAUGGAGGGGGAUAACUACUGGAAACGGUAGCUAAUACCGCAUAACGUCGCAAGACCAAAGAGGGGGACCUUCGGGCCUCUUGCCAUCGGAUGUGCCCAGAUGGGAUUAGCUAGUAGGUGGGGUAACGGCUCACCUAGGCGACGAUCCCUAGCUGGUCUGAGAGGAUGACCAGCCACACUGGGAACUGAGACACGGUCCAGACUCCUACGGGAGGCAGCAGUGGGGAAUAUUGCACAAUGGGCGCAAGCCUGAUGCAGCCAUGCCGCGUGUAUGAAGAAGGCCUUCGGGUUGUAAAGUACUUUCAGCGGGGAGGAAGGGAGUAAAGUUAAUACCUUUGCUCAUUGACGUUACCCGCAGAAGAAGCACCGGCUAACUCCGUGCCAGCAGCCGCGGUAAUACGGAGGGUGCAAGCGUUAAUCGGAAUUACUGGGCGUAAAGCGCACGCAGGCGGUUUGUUAAGUCAGAUGUGAAAUCCCCGGGCUCAACCUGGGAACUGCAUCUGAUACUGGCAAGCUUGAGUCUCGUAGAGGGGGGUAGAAUUCCAGGUGUAGCGGUGAAAUGCGUAGAGAUCUGGAGGAAUACCGGUGGCGAAGGCGGCCCCCUGGACGAAGACUGACGCUCAGGUGCGAAAGCGUGGGGAGCAAACAGGAUUAGAUACCCUGGUAGUCCACGCCGUAAACGAUGUCGACUUGGAGGUUGUGCCCUUGAGGCGUGGCUUCCGGAGCUAACGCGUUAAGUCGACCGCCUGGGGAGUACGGCCGCAAGGUUAAAACUCAAAUGAAUUGACGGGGGCCCGCACAAGCGGUGGAGCAUGUGGUUUAAUUCGAUGCAACGCGAAGAACCUUACCUGGUCUUGACAUCCACAGAACUUUCCAGAGAUGGAUUGGUGCCUUCGGGAACUGUGAGACAGGUGCUGCAUGGCUGUCGUCAGCUCGUGUUGUGAAAUGUUGGGUUAAGUCCCGCAACGAGCGCAACCCUUAUCCUUUGUUGCCAGCGGUCCGGCCGGGAACUCAAAGGAGACUGCCAGUGAUAAACUGGAGGAAGGUGGGAUGACGUCAAGUCAUCAUGGCCCUUACGACCAGGGCUACACACGUGCUACAAUGGCGCAUACAAAGAGAAGCGACCUCGCGAGAGCAAGCGGACCUCAUAAAGUGCGUCGUAGUCCGGAUUGGAGUCUGCAACUCGACUCCAUGAAGUCGGAAUCGCUAGUAAUCGUGGAUCAGAAUGCCACGGUGAAUACGUUCCCGGGCCUUGUACACACCGCCCGUCACACCAUGGGAGUGGGUUGCAAAAGAAGUAGGUAGCUUAACCUUCGGGAGGGCGCUUACCACUUUGUGAUUCAUGACUGGGGUGAAGUCGUAACAAGGUAACCGUAGGGGAACCUGCGGUUGGAUCACCU